GACGAACGCUGGCGGCGUGCUUAACACAUGCAAGUCGAACGGAAAGGCCCUGCUUUUGUGGGGUGCUCGAGUGGCGAACGGGUGAGUAACACGUGAGUAACCUGCCCUUGACUUUGGGAUAACUUCAGGAAACUGGGGCUAAUACCGGAUAGGAGCUCCUGCUGCAUGGUGGGGGUUGGAAAGUUUCGGCGGUUGGGGAUGGACUCGCGGCUUAUCAGCUUGUUGGUGGGGUAGUGGCUUACCAAGGCUUUGACGGGUAGCCGGCCUGAGAGGGUGGCCGGCCACAUUGGGACUGAGAUACGGCCCAGACUCCUACGGGAGGCAGCAGUGGGGAAUAUUGCACAAUGGGCGGAAGCCUGAUGCAGCAACGCCGCGUGCGGGAUGACGGCCUUCGGGUUUUAAACCGCUUUCGCCUGUGACGAAGCGUGAGUGACGGUAAUGGGUAAAGAAGCACCGGCUAACUACGUG
rnacentral:rRNA from 1 species